AACAUCAACUAGACACUCGUCUUCACUUUCCUUUAGCUACCAGUUUUUCUGUUUUUAUCAAAUAAUACGGUUUGUUUUCAUUAGAAUAAUUUUGCUAGUUAGAUAUUAGUUGAUAGCUAACAGUAAGUCAAAGAAUGACAUCCGUUUUACAGCCUCAAAAGGAGGCUCCAAACGGGACUUACACAUUCGCCAGUCGCCCAAGACCUGUUCAAAACCGUACCAAAUACAGAGAGCCCGCCGCAGAGCAAAGUGAUGAACAGAGUAAUUAUGGAAACAUCAUGUAUGACCGACGUGUUGUCAGGGGAAACACAUAUGCCCAGCACAUCCUACCAGUGGCAGCUCAACAUGACCCUAUUGAGGUCCAGAGACAGCAGGAGGCCAGAAGGAGAGCCUUCGCUCGGAAGCGUGCCAUGGAGCAGUUCAGGCCCAGGACUCCAGAGGCUCUGGAGGGAAGGAAGCACAUAGAUGUACAGACAGAGCUGUAUCUUGAGGAGCUGAAUGAUCGCAUAGAGGACACCAGCGUCGAGUGCCAGACCGAUGCCUUCCUGGACAAACCGGCCACCCCCCUCUUCAUUCCUGCCAAGUCCGGUAAAGAUGUGGCCACACAGAUCGAGGAGGGAGAGCUGUUUGACUUUGACAUGGAGGUGCGCCCGGUGCUGGAGGUGCUGGUGGGGAAGACGGUGGAGCAGGCUCUGCUGGAGGUCAUGGAGGAGGAGGAGCUGGCCAGCCUGCGGGCGCAGCAGCGGGCCUUCGAGGAGCUCCGCAACGCCGAGCUGGUGGAGGUGCAGCGGUUGGAGGAGCAAGAGAGACGCCACCGUGAGGAGAAGGAGCGUCGGAUCACCCAGCAGCGAGAGGUGCUGAAGAAGGAGAUGGAGACUGCGGACAAGAUUGCGGCGCGGGCGUUUGCCCAGCACUACCUGGCCGAUCUGCUCCCCUCGGUCUACACCACGCUGAGGGACCACGGCUACUUCUACGACCCUGUGGAGAGAGAUAUUGAGACUGGCUUCCUCCCGUGGCUGAUGGCUCAUGUCGGUAACACUUUGGAGAAGAGAUACGUGGCAAGAGCAGUGCUGGACAUGCUCAUCCAUGAUGUCACCCAGAAGAGGCCCCACGACCACUCGUCCCAAUGAGGGCCUGUGCCACUAUGGGGGGGCAUACAGGUAACAUCAGCAAAUCCGAAAGAACCAGCAGUUGUUGAUGGGAAUGCAUUUCAAAUGAACAGUUGAGCUGAAUGGUGAAAGGAAAAUCUCUACAUAUCUGUGCAACACAGUACAUGAAAUGCUUAUUGAAAAAAUAUCCUCAACGUUUAUAUUUAUGAUUUCAAGAUGAAAAAUCUCAAACAACUGUCUUCAAUAAAGAUUUUUCUGGACCAUAGAUUAAACUCUAAGCAUUUUCCACAAAUCGCGUUAGUCUCUGGUUUCAUGGACAGUGCUUUUACAGCCUAUUAGUUUCCUGUCCUUACCCUUACUGUUGUAGACAGAGUUGACUGACUUUUGAUGUGUUGUAGGCUCAUGUUUCAGUAGCCCAUGAUCUGCAAUUGGUUGCUUGUCUUAUUUUCCCCAGGGGUAUAGUCAUU